rnacentral:rRNA from 1 species
GCACGGUAAACGAUGGAUGCUCGCUGUUCGCCAUUAUGGUGAGUGGCUUAGGGAAACCGUUAAGCAUCCCACCUGGGGAGUACGCCGGCAACGGUGAAACUCAAAGGAAUUGACGGGGGCCCGCACAAGCGGAGGAACAUGUGGUUUAAUUCGAUGAUACGCGAGGAACCUUACCCGGGCUUGAACUGCAGGAGAACGAUUCAGAGAUGAUGAGGUCCUUCGGGACUCCUGUGGAGGUGCUGCAUGGUUGUCGUCAGCUCGUGCCGUGAGGUGUCGGCUUAAGUGCCAUAACGAGCGCAAUCCUUGUCCCCAGUUGCCAUCAAUUCGGUUGGGCACUCUGAGGAUACUGCCACCGCAAGGUGUGAGGAAGGUGGGGAUGACGUCAAAUCAGCACGGCCCUUACGUCCGGGGCUACACACGUGUUACAAUGGCGCAUACAGAAAGUCGGCCGCUGGCAACAUCGGUCCAAUCAAGAAAAUGCGUCGUAGUUCGGAUUGGGGUCUGCAACCCGACCCCAUGAAGCUGGAUUCGCUAGUAAUCGCGCAUCAGCCAUGGCGCGGUGAAUACGUUCCCGGGCCUUGUACACACCGCCCGUCAAGCCAUGAAAGCCGGGGGCGCCUGAAGUCCGUGACCGCAAGGAUCGGCCUAGGGUGAAACUGGUAAUUGGGGCU